GUGCGUGAUUUUAAAUGACCUAACUUGUACUGCAUCCCCUCGUCUCCGUGCAUUUGUAUCGACUUCGAUAACCCACGUAUAGUAUAUGACUAUAAUAGUAAUUAUACAUAUAGCAUAAAGUCACAACAUGGUGUCAGAAGACGGAGUCACGGAAUAAUUUGCGGAUGGUAUUUUAAAAGUUAGCUAAAAAAAAAGUGCUAGCACGUGCGAACAUGGAGCAGUUCAAGCCGCCACCACCGUUGAUACUUACUGGGAAUAUAGCUGAAAACUGGAGAAGAUGGGAACAACGUUUCCAGCUGUAUAUGAUCGCUUCAGGUGCGUUGGAUAAGGAAGAGACGGUUAAAAUAGCCAUUCUGCUGCAUACUGUCGGCGAGGAGGCGCUAGAAGUGUAUAACACGCUCAGCAUCAUCCCAGAAGGAGAUGAAGAAACAAUGGAGGAAGUUCUCCAAGCCUUCACGGACUACUGCAGCCCCCGAAAGAACGUGGUUUUCGAACGCCAUCAAUUCUGGCCACACGUGAUGUCAGCAGGAAUAUCGGUGGACAGAAGAGCAAAGACUGAGUUUGUCAGAAAUGAAGAUGACAUGAUUUGGGAUAAAUGAGUGUUUCGCAUAAACGAUAUUCGUCUGAAGGAGAGACUGUUGCGUGAUAAUGCGCUCACUUUGCGCGGAGCCAUGGACACGUGCAGAUCAGCAGAGCUCGCUAAGUGACAAAUACAAGCGAUGCAGACGUCACAGGUUGUCCAAGACACCUCAGUAGAUGCUUUAAGGAAAGCAACAGGGCAAACGUGCACGGGCAGCUGGAACAAGAGCAAAACCAGCAGCAAGAGGCACGUAACGACUGUCUGCCAUAAAUGUGGAAACAAGCGCGAGCCCCGUCAGUGCCCAGCUUAUGGUGCAGUGUGCCAUAAAUGUGGUUACCGCACCAAUAACACACUCCGGGGGAAGGAUACCUUCAGGAUGAGGAGGAGAGCUCUCGGGCUGUAAUUGCCGGGACAAGGCGUCGGGUUUGAUGUUCUUGGAGCCUGGUCUGUAAGAGAGCAAGAAUUCAAACCGAUUAAAAAAAAGAGCCCACCUUGCUUGACGGGCGGUCAGUCGUUUGGCCGAGCGGAUGUAUUGCAGAUUUUUGUGAUCCGUCCAGACCACAAAUGGCUGCUCCGCCCCCUCCAACCAGUGUCUCCAUUCCUCCAAUGCCAGUUUGACUGCCAAAAACUCCCGGUUUCCAAUGUCGUAAUUCCUCUCUGAUGGGGACAGCUUCCGGGAGAAGAACGCACAAGGAUGAGCCCUUUGGUCCUCAGCCGACCGCUGAGAAAGGACUGCUCCUACACCAGUGUCUGAGGCGUCAACCUCCACAAUAAACUGCCAGGCUGGAUCUGGGAGUAUGAGGAUGGGAGCAGAUUGUAGCUCACGUCCUGCCUCUGGUCCAGUCAUCCCCUGCAUCACUUGUCAGAAGGAAGUUCCCUUUUCAGAGGUGAAGCUCCACAGAUUGAGCUGCAAUGGGUAUGUACUUCCUAAAGCAAUGCAAAGGACACCCAUGCAGGAAAGAGAACAAGAGGGAGGCCAAAGGGAAGAAAAUGAUAGUGAGACAGCCCUAGUCAGUGACAGUGUUCCAGUGAGGUCUGAAACAUCAGCUGAGAGUGCAGUAGUUCCAGCAGUGAUUGUCAACGAGGAGUUGGAUCGCAAAGAAACAGUCGUUGUGACAGAUUUUGGGAAACCACUUAGAAUGAAGAUGGAUGUAAGGGAGUCUGAAGAGGACCGGGAACGGGAGCUUCUCUUAUUCUAUAAACAGCAGCAAGAAUGGGCAUGUCCUCUUCAUUGUACUCUGGUUGGUGAUGUUGCUGUUGGAGAGGGAGUGAUGCGGUACUUUAUGACAACAAUCAUAUCCAAACUCCAGUUUGGAUUCAGUCUAGAUCUUGGAGGAAUGGGCCGAACACUGCUAUUUGAGGGUGAACCUGACCAUCUUGUUCCAGCAGCAUCAGAGGCACUUAUUGAAAGCAACCUCUUCUGGGUUGCAGGAAGGAUGUUGGCCCACACCUUUCUGCAUGACGGUCCCCAUGUCACAGGAUUAAGUCCUGCUGUAAUUCAUGUACUGUUCAAUGGGGACCCUGAAAUGGCUACUGUUGUUGUUGAAGACUGUCCUGAUCUGCACAUCAGGAGCAUCAUAGAACUUUUAUGUAACCUAAAAGAAACUUUGCCAUGUAAAAAAUAUUGCUUGGGCAGAUAUAAUAAAUAGUAUGGUCCUUAUUCUAUCUUGAACAAGAAGAACUUGUUCUUGGAACAGAAAGAAACAGUUUCAGAUCUUUCCAUGUCUUGGGAUCAUCCGGCAGUCACCAAAACAAAUCGGAGAUGGCUACAUAAUAAACUUCUACUCCAUGCAGUCGUUGGGAGGACCAUGCGCCAAAUUAAACAGUUGACAAAGGGACUGAAAGAUGUGAUGGUAUGGCCCCUGCUGACAUCUAGGCCAGAUGUUGUCCCACUUCCUUUCCCCAAAAUGGCUGAAAUGCAGUUCACACCCCAGAUGCUCCUAGAAAAAUCACAUGGCCAGUUGAGGACAGUGAUGAUGAAGACUUUGACUUGGACACCACCUGCCGCUUCACUGGCUUUCUAAGGAUGUUCAUUGAAACAGCUUCAUCAGGUACCCUGGCCCAGCUGCUGACAUUCUGGGUUGGCUGGGAGAUGCUUCCUCCUGAACUGACAGUGGAGAUUUCUGAGGGAACCCUUCCUAUGUCCUCCACAUGCUUUGAAACACUAAACCUGCCAUCCAUCCAUCCAUCCAUCGUCAAACCGCUUAUCCUGCAGACAGGGUCGCGGGGGGGCUGGAGUCCAUCCCAGCCAACUUUGGGCGAUAGACCGGGUACAUCCUGGAUUGGUCGCCAGCCAAUCGCAGGGCUAACACAGAGACAUACAAUCAUUCACACUCACACAUCUACGGGCAAUUUAAAGUCCCCAAUUAACCUGAUCCCCAGAGCAUGUCUUUGGACUGUGGGAGGAAGCCGGAGUACCCGGAGAGAACCCACGCAGACACGGGGAGAACAUGCAGACUCCACACAGAAAGGCCACUGGGCAGAGUCAAACCCAGGACCUUCUUGCUGUGAGGCGACAGUGCUAACCACCACGCCACCGUGCCGCCUAAACCUGGCAGCUCAUUUCAAAAUCUACAUGGACUUUGAGAAAGCACUUGUCGCUGCUAUAAAAAGUACUGGAUUUGGGCUUGUUUAAGUUUUUUCAGACAGAUGUCAAUUAGGGCAGGGCAAUAUUUCAAUAUUAUAUCUAUUGUGAUUUUGAAGCGUAAUAUUGUUACAUGGUAAGUUUAGUCUUUUCCUGGUUUCAAAGGCUGCAUUACAGUAAAGUGUCAUUUUCUGAAUUUACCAGACUGUUCUAGCUGUUCUAUUAUUUGCCUUUAACCACUUAGUCAUUAUAUGCACAUUAUGAUGGUUAUUUUUCAGAAAUUUAAAUGUGGAAGAUAUUUUGUGAAUGAAUCAAUUGUCAACCAUACAAUAUCGUCAUUGAGGUGUUUGGUCAAAAAUAUUGUGAUAUUUGAUUUUCUCCAUAUUGCCAGCCCUAAUGUCAAUGCCUACACUGUUCAGAUGAAUUGACACAAGUUCAGUGUCUUUGAAAACUUUGAUUAACACACUGUGCACAGUAGUUGACUUUUUAUUUUAUUUUUAUUCUGCACAU
ensembl:lncRNA